UAUAUUUUACUUUUAAGCUAAAGUUAGGAGUGUCUUGGAAUUGCUGCUCAGAUUGGAUCUGAUAUCCAGAGAGCAAAUACAUGUGCUAAUAAGCUGGCUACAGGCAGGCAUGCUUUGCCACCUAGUGACCUUCAGCAACCCCUCUGUGUCAGGUUCCUCGUGUUCAAAAUUGGAGCAGUAGCUCUCCCUAGGCUUGCAGUAAGGAUUGCCUCAGUGUGUGGUUGCCUUGCUGUGUCCACGGGGUGGGAAGGAAGGGCAAUGUCUGGAAAGCAGGCCAAUCUCAGUCUAGCUGGACUGGCCUCUGCUGCCCUCUCCUGGGCAUGUCUGCAGAGUUGACAUGCUGUUUGGAGAAUGCCUGCUCAAGGCCAGAGUGGAGUGUCAGCAGGAGGGAGAGAAGAGGAAACAAAGCUGGGCUGGGAGUGGGAAAAUAGUAACAAACACACAGAUUCCUGUAAUAGAAAGUUCUUUAGAUGUUACAAAGACCAGGGCCUUAGCCCUGGGCAGUGCUGCUUCAAUGAGUACCUUAGACGUUUACUUCUUUCUUUAUUUCUUUUUUUUUUUUUGAGAUGGAGUCCAUAGGCUGGAGUACAGUGGUGAUAUCUCGGCCCACUGCAACCUCUGCCUCCUGCGUUCAAGUGAUUCUCAUGCCUCAGCCUCCCGAGCAGGUUAAUUCCCAUCAGAUAACAUCCACCACAGAAAAGGCACCAACCACGCAGAUGGAAUGACUUAGCCAAAUAAUGUUAACCAGGCUUUGUUGCUGGCACCCCAAUGCUGGCAAAGUGAUCCUAUGAACGGAGGAGCCACGGUGGAGCAAAUGCAAGGGUUCAACGUCAUGGACUCAUCAAGUCUGAUCUAACUACUGCAUCAGUGAGUGUCCAGCUUGCCAGCAACAGAGACCAACACUUAGCCUGAUGUCACCAUUCCUCAAGGAAACCAUCUAGCCACUUGGUGGUGUUGAUGCAGAUAACUCCUCCCACUAAAUUUCUGCAUGUGAAUCUCCAACACAGAGUGUUUUUGCCAAGAACUCAAUCUAUGGCAGCAGCAAACCUCUGUGGCUCAAGGAAAUCUCAGUUGGAUGUCCUGUCCCAUCUACUCAAGACCAGUAAACAACACUUAAAAAGAACAUAAUCUCUUUAUUUCUGCUUGGGAUACAAAUGUUCAGUUUGGAUGAUGAGAAUGAGGCAAGUACUGGAGACAAUGGCUGGCUCUUCUGUUUGUCCCAAUAAACUCCAAUGGAGGAAGAAGCUAAACAGGUUUGGGAUGGUUUCGGUCUAUUGUAUCUAGCUUAUCAAAUCUACGGCCUGGUACUUCUGGAACAAGACUGCCCCAGUGAUGACAGUUAAAGAUAAAGAUGGCAAAAA